GGAGGAAACAUUUACCGUGGAUAUUUCAGCAUUAACAUUUAUCAACAACCUCUGACAUCACUUCUCAAACCAGUAAAACGACGUAGGAUUAUCGAAUCGGACAGUGAUAGUCAGUCUCAAUGAAGCUGUUGAUACUUCAAAUUUCUGUGUAAAUAUGAAUAUUUCAAAAGUUAUUUGUUACAGCUCUGAUAUUUCUGACCUACAUUUUGAUAGAAGUGCAAAAGAACAGCUGAUGAAAUGACGGACGAUGCGGUUGUUUCUUUUAACGAAUGAAAGAACAGUAUUUUAGUUAUAUGAUAUAAAUAAUCUUACACUUGUUUCUAUGUCAUUAGAUAUUUAUGAAACUCGUCACGAAUUUUAAAAGUCUCAUAUGACAUGGAAACUCAUGUAUGAUCCUAUAUUUCUAUGCACAUUCAAAUGUUAAUCUUACCGCAAAUUAAACAGCAGAAAGUUAAAUAACGCAUACACAUACCUUCACCUUCAAAUUUUACAGAUAUGUUCAUUACUAUAGAGGUUUGACCGUAGGAGUUCAAUUGACCGAAACAUAAACCAUUGUUUUAUUUAAUCAUUCAAAUAUUUCAACUCAUCUCUUUCUCACUUGAUGAAUUUGACUCACUGUAAGACAAUAACAGGUUUGAAUUCCAGGUAUGGUUGUAUGAGGAAUAUAUAUAUAUGGUGGCGUCAUCACUGGCUUGUGAUGCCUUAUGGCGGUUUUAAUUGGCCGCACCUUUACAGAAAGGUAUUUCAUUUCGAAUAUAAAAGUCAAAGGAAAAAAAAUUAGGAAAGAGAAAUCAUU